rnacentral:rRNA from 1 species
UCGGAUUCAUUGGGCGGAAAGGGUGCGUAGGCGGCGCGGUAAGUCGGGUGUGAAAUCUUGGAGCUUAACUCCGAAACUGCAUUCGAUACUGCCGUGCUUGAGGACUGGAGAGGAGACUGGAAUUUACGGUGUAGCGGUGAAAUGCGUAGAUAUCGUAAGGAAGACCAGUGGCGAAGGCGGGUCUCUGGACAGUUCCUGACGCUGAGGCACGAAGGCCAGGGGAGCAAACGGG